UAAAGUACUUUCAGCAGUGAGGAAGGUGGAUAUGUUAAUAGCAUAUUCAUUUGACGUUAGCUGCAGAAGAAGCACCGGCUAACUCCGUGCCAGCAGCCGCGGUAAUACGGAGGGUGCGAGCGUUAAUCGGAAUUACUGGGCGUAAAAGCGCAUGCAGGUGGUUUGUUAAGUCAGAUGUGAAAGCCCGGGGCUCAACCUCGGAAUUGCAUUUGAAACUGGCAAACUAGAGUACUGUAGAGGGGGUAGGAAUUUCAGGUGUAGCGGUGAAAUGCGUAGAGAUCUGAAGGAAUACCGGUGGCGAAGGCGGCCCCCUGGACAGAUACUGACACUCAGAUGCGAAAGCGUGGGGAGCAAACAGGAUUAGAUACCCUGGUAG
rnacentral:rRNA from 1 species